UACGAAGGGGGCUAGCGUUGCUCGGAAUCACUGGGCGUAAAGCGCACGUAGGCGGCUUGUUAAGUCAGGGGUGAAAUCCUGGAGCUCAACUCCAGAACUGCCUUUGAUACUGGCGAGCUUGAGUUCGGGAGAGGUGAGUGGAACUGCGAGUGUAGAGGUGAAAUUCGUAGAUAUUCGCAAGAACACCAGUGGCGAAGGCGGCUCACUGGCCCGAUACUGACGCUGAGUGAGCGAAAGCCAGGGGAGCAAACGGG
rnacentral:rRNA from 1 species